rnacentral:rRNA from 1 species
AUACGGAGGGUGCAAGCGUUGUUCGGAAUCACUGGGCGUAAAGCGCGUGUAGGCGGCUUGGUAAGUCGGGUGUGAAAUCCCGGGGCUCAACCCCGGAACUGCACUCGAAACUGCCUCGCUAGAGUCCCGGAGAGGAAGGCGGAAUUCCCGGUGUAGAGGUGAAAUUCGUAGAUAUCGGGAGGAACACCAGUGGCGAAGGCGGCCUUCUGGACGGUGACUGACGCUGAGACGCGAAAGCGUGGGGAGCAAACAGGAUUAGAAACCCCGGUAGUCC